AAUUUUCAAACGGUAUAUACCGCUGUUUUCUUUAAGACGAGGCCACAAGAGAAAAAGUUGUACUCUACAUUUUUAUAUUUAGAGUAACCUUCGGCCAAUCGUCCACCUCUUAUCGGUCUACAAUCAGCAAAGAAUACGUAGAAUCCCCUCUGAACUUCUCUUACGCCGCAAACGUUAAAAAUAUACACAACGAAGCAUCAUCAACGACGAUACAAAUGAAAUGAAAAAAUUGCGAUGGAGAGCCACGUCAAAGGCUUAAUUCUAGCAGAAUAUCUUCGACUUUAAUCAGGAAUUUAGGUCCACGAUGUAUACGAGUUUCGAGGUUCACGACAGCUUCAGAUUGUAGGUUUCUACGUAUAAGAGGCGAUCCUGGUAGUCGGUGCGUGGGUAUUGCUGGCAAGAACAAUUGGAUUGUUGUAAGAGGAUAUUUUUAUAGCUUUAUGCACGGCAUUUUUAAUACGGAUGAAUAGGAAAUGGGAAGUGGCGGCGAGGGUCGGUAGUGGGAAUUCUGGAAAAUGGCUUCUAUACGCGCAACUCUGAGAUUGGCCUUUGUUUGAUGACCGGGGAAAAUCGGUGGCUGUGAAACCGUUUUGCUUGUUGCAACAAGCAACUUUGCGCGCUCCUAUACGCCUCUAGUUAACACGUGCGCUCUCACAGCUACGGGCUUUGUUGAUCCGCUACGUUUUCUUGGUAAACAGCUCUAGAAGGAAAGCGUAUCGGCGGGAAAUUUUUAAAUAAUAUCAUGGAAAUAUAACGCAUAUUUCGCAAAGAAAUCAUUCACAGGCUCGAUUGUAUUUAGUAUCUCGCCACCAGCUAUUUUCCCCGCUCGUUUACAUAAUUACUCGCUCACGCUAGCAAUGACCCAUAUCGUUUCCGCUCUAUGAACAGUUUCCUCAGUUUCGUUCAUUUCUACGAUAAAGAGAAAUCUCUGGAAAUAAAUUGGAAAUGUUCAGAUUGCGAUAAUCCGGCUAAGUUAAUUAUAGGAGAAAUCGAAUGGUGCGUUUGUCGAAGUUCUUCGCUAAUUUCCAUGCGAUUGGCGGCGAAAAUAGAAAAAGAAGCGCUAUAUACGCCUUCUUGUUCGCCAACACGUCAGUACGUGUCACACUACAUUCUCCUGACUGGCGUAAGCGGCACAAGUGGCUUUAUACAUACAUAUGUAUGCAAUGUAAAUAAGCGUGUACGUAAUGUAAGCGGCGCGCAAAAAUACCCGUAAUACUAAAUUAUCGGUACAAGCGGUAGCGAACUGCGUUGCCGAUAAAUCUGCACUUAUUUUAAUUAAUCCCGUUAAAGAACGUGAAAGUCUUGCCACAUUGCCAACACCGUGUACCCAGUCGAAGCGUCUUAGGUGCCGAUUGGAAUUUAAUUUAGACGAAAAUACAAAGUUAUUCGUCCGUGUAACCGUGUUCUGUUUCCUUUUUAACAGACAGUCCAAACAGAAUUUAUUAUCGACGUUGUAUCGCCGCUUCUAUUAUUUCUUUCCUGCUACCUGUUAAAUUCGUAAGCGUUAUUAUAUCUCGCAUUUUAAUCUACGAUUUCGAACGGUUGUAUAAGUCUUGUGUAAGUCUAAGGUUGUAUGAGUCUAUUUUAUUUUUUGAUGGGGAACUGGUUACACGUCCUGGAAUCUCAUAAACGGAACGAGUUGGAUAAAUAGCAAUAGAAGGCACGAGUCCUCGAGCAAAGAUCCACGACUCGAGAUGUUCGUUAUUUUUGUUGCAAUUAUAAAGAUAAAUAUUCAUCAAGCCGCUUUCGUACACGUGCCGCCAUCUGGGGAAAUGCAAUAAACAUUUGCAGAUGGCGCUGCGAUAGCUUUUAGAAUUUGAAGCAGUUCGAAUUCGCGGUUUCGUAGUCGGAAUAAAGCUUCUUGCGAAAAAAGCACGAGUUAUUACGAAACAUUAACGAAGUGGUUUGCAAUUGUGACAAAUUGUUAAUCUAUAGAUAGAAGAAACACAUAAGUAACUUUGAAACAACGAAAAUUUCCAGGAAUAAUACAUAGUUACAUUCUAUAAUUGAAAAUUAUAAAUUAUUCAACAUUCUAAAUCAAACAUAAAGUCGCGCGUUCAAGCAGACGACGCGACGCUACUGUAGCGACCACGUGAAAGCUGUGUCUCGUUGUUUAUCGUAGGAAAAUGGGUCGGAAAAUUCCAGGAAAAAAGCACAGAGGCGUAAAAGAUCCUCUUAAGCAACAGGCAAAACGACUGGCAGAGUUAGAAACAAAGAUAAAUGCACCGCCAAAAAAUGCAGACGAACAAGCUAUACCGAAAACUUUAGAAAGAGUAGUGAAAUUGAAAGAGGCAGUGAAGUCAGGGAAGAUAACCAAAGUCAAGAAAAAGAAAAAGAAGAAAAAUGCCCUCAUAUCUGUUGGCAAUAAGUUGUGCUCUAAGCCUUUACAUCCAAAGGCUAAACCAGAUAAAGUUGUUCCUGUAUUUCAACAGAGACCUGGUGAAAGUGAGGAUAGAUUUUUGCACAGAGUUAACAGGGAUACUUACGCCUUUAUUAAUGAAACUGCCUUUGAGAGGAAAUACAGUGUUCAAGUCAAUCGAAAUCCAAAUACAGGAGAGAUAGAGGGGCUUUCGAAAUGCGAGAAAACUGAGUUAGAUAAAAUUGACAUGUUGAGGUCAAAGCAUAAAAAUAUUAAAAAAAAGAAGAAAAAGAAAGAUACUGAUGAACCUAAAAUGAGUAAGUCAGAGAAGAGGAGAGAGAAAUUGAAAUCCAAGAAACAAAAACAAAUAGAAGAAAAAGUAGAUGAAUUUGAUACUUUUAAAGAUCAAGUUAAAUUUGGAGAAGUUGCUCAUGAACCGCCUCAAUUAAAAGUCAGGCCAAAACAUGCUGACAAUAUAAGUACCUUUAAGCCUGGAAAGAAGAAACUGCUUCUUCAUUCAAUACUUAAAAAGAGUGAGAAGACAAAAAUGGGGACUAAGAAAACAAUAGCCAUAGAUAAAUCAGGAAAACGCAAGAAUCUACCAGUUGGAGAAAGGAGACAGUUAGAAAAACAGCAAAGUGAUAUCAUAGCAGCAUACAGAAGGUUAAAAGCACAACGGUCGGCUGACGUUAACAACUAGGGCUAAUGGUACAACGAAGAAAAAUUUUAUCGGAAUAAACGGCUCGUUGAGUGGUUAAACGCUGUACGUGUAACAACAGUGUUUGCCAUCGUACGAAGGAAGGAAAUGCGGUGAACGUUCGUGAAAAUCGGAAUAAAAGGAAACGCUUGAAAACGAGCUCGUCUGGUAGAAGUCCCGAUCUUCGAACGAUCGACGUCUUCCGUGAUCGAAUAAUCUACGUGACUGGCCACGUGACUGCCGCUCUGCAAACAGAUGGAAAAGAAGGGAAAAAAGACUAAUUGCCGAGUGGAGAUGAUUCCCUACUAACAGAGUGUGGAGAUUAACCGAGUGUUGAAGUGAGAGCCGCAUUAACGUGUUAUUAACGUCAUGAAAUAACGCCACGAAAGUAAUCAUGGAGAAGGUCUACCGGUCGACUUGGAGCAAUCCAAGA